GGGGUCCGUCAAGCUCACCAUCAUGCUCAGCAGCCAGCUGAAAGUUUGAAUGGAGGCCAACGUGUUUGACAAUAUGUCAGGAUGAUUUCUAUUAAUUAUCCGGAAUACCUCCAGAAUAUUUAUAAGAAGGGAUUGUCCGAACACCUCCAGCCUUCCACUAUUUAUGUGCGUCAGGCUGAAUGGGAACUUGCGUCGGACUACAUCCUGGAUUUGUGUCAUCUCUUGAACGUUGACGGCGCGCACAUUGACCGGUGGAUUUUUUUCCUCAAUGGUUGGGAACUAGUGCUCCCAAUUGUCGGCAUAAGUGCGGGUAUAUAAGCCCGUGAUGGCUGUAUCCCAAUGGCGAUAUUUUUACCACAUUCUGCCCCUGAAAUGAUGGAGGUCGUACAGGGCAAGAUAUCUCUGGCAUAAAGCUAUUGCCACCGCCUUCCAUACGCUGAGCUGAUCCUCUCGGGCGAUUGAGGGAAAGUGGUACUCGUAAAUGACAAAAAAACGGUUGCCU
rnacentral:lncRNA from 1 species